GACGAACGCUGGCGGCGUGCUUAACACAUGCAAGUCGAACGGUAAGGCCCUUCGGGGUACACGAGUGGCGAACGGGUGAGUAACACGUGGGUGAUCUGCCCUGCACUUCGGGAUAAGCCUGGGAAACUGGGUCUAAUACCGGAUAGGACCACUGCCUGCAUGGGUGGCGGUGGAAAGCUUUUGCGGUGUGGGAGGGGACCGCGGCCUAUCAGCUUGUUGGUGGGGUGAUGGCCUACCAAGGCGACGAGGGGUAGCCGGCCUGGGAGGGUGACCGGGCACACUGGGACUGGGAUACGUCCCAGACUCCUACGGGAGGCAGCAGUGGGGAAUAUUGCACAAUGGGCGCAAGCCUGAUGCGGCGACGCCGCGUGAGGGAUGACGGCCUUCGGGUUGUAAACCUCGUUCAGCACCGACGAAGCGCUAGUGACGGUAGGUGCAGAAGAAGGACCGGCCAACUACUUGCCAGCCGCCGCAGUAA
rnacentral:rRNA from 1 species